rnacentral:lncRNA from 1 species
UUUUUAUUAUGAUUCAUGUUAUGUAAUUAACUCUGUCAAUUUUUAGUUUAUAUUUUGCAAUUCGGUCGACUGAAAAUUUUGUUCUGGGAACUAGUAGAAAAUUGGCAGAAUUCAACAUUUUUUCUACAAAGGCACUAUUAUUUACUCAUAAUGUCAUCAUGACAUUCAAUUGAACACUCUGCAGGCGGUUCAUGUAUCAGGCCCAAAGUUGUUCAACCUGCGUGGAUGCGUGAACUUUUGUGAUUUCGUAAAACAUGUAACUUCCAUUGUUCACCGCUCUUAUAUCUACUUGUUGAUCCAGUACAAAUCUUGUAACCUUCUAUUGCAACUCAUCGGGCAUCCAUAGUCCUUGUCCAUAGAAGAGCAAGCCAAUGAGCCGGGAAGUCAUGCAUAUAUAAAAUUUGGGUUAAGUUCGGACUCUUAAUCACUAAAGGAAAGAGCAAGCCAAUGAUCCGAGAAGUCAUGGUAGUGAUUUGAUACUUUGCGACUGAUUGAUACAACGAAAUCAAAUUGUAGAUGAUAAAUGGUGGCAAUGAAAUCUCAUGCAUCAAACUUGAUAACAGUUGGAAUGUCCCACCCUCAGAAUAUUCCGCAGUCUAGCACAAAAAUGGACAGAAGUUGUGCCUGCUCCAAGAUUUGUUUUUUGGAGACUCCGGACACCUCCCAUGCCGACAAGCAAUUGAUAAGGCAAACAAAUAGUAAGAGUGAUAUGAUAUGAGAUGAGGCAUGUUAUUCAAGUGGUUUAACUCUACACAAGUUGCCUAGUUGCAUGGAGGAGGAAGUUUAAUUUACCUCCUCGGUUGUGAGUAGCGAGUUCAACUUAUAUGGGGUUGAGGGUCCUUAUCCUCACAUGCUCAUGUCACUAGGCCAUAAGUAACAUUUGUUUUGAAAUGGAGGUCAUAAGUACGAUAUAUAUGCUAAGAACGUAAAAAAAUAGAUAGGCCAGGAAAAGCUCCAUUAAAAGUGAGGUGGAUAGGUU